rnacentral:rRNA from 1 species
AACGAACGCUGGCGGCACGCCUAACACAUGCAAGUCGAGCGCUACCUUCGGGUGGAGCGGCGGACGGGUUAGUAACGCGUGGGAACAUACCCUUCACUAAGGAAUAGCCUCUGGAAACGGAGAGUAAUACCUUAUACGCCCUUCGGGGGAAAGAUUUAUCGGUGAAGGAUUGGCCCGCAUUAGAUUAGAUAGUUGGUGAGGUAACGGCUCACCAAGUCGACGAUCUAUAGCUGGUUUGAGAGGAUGAUCAGCAACACUGGGACUGAGACACGGCCCAG